rnacentral:rRNA from 1 species
CCUACGGGAGGCAGCAGUGGGGAAUAUUGCACAAUGGGGGAAACCCUGAUGCAGCGACGCCGCGUGAGUGAAGAAGUAAUUCGUUAUGUAAAGCUCUAUCAGCAGGGAAGAAAAUGACGGUACCUGAGUAAGAAUCCCCGGCUAACUACGUGCCAGCAGCCGCGGUAAUACGUAGGGGGCAAGCGUUAUCCGGAUUUACUGGGUGGAAAGGGAGCGUAGACGGCAGUGCAAGUCUGGAGUGAAAGGCGGGGGCUCAACCCCCGGACUGCUCUGGAAACUGUAAGGCUGGAGUGCAGGAGAGGUAAGUGGAAUGCCUGGUGUAGCGGUGAAAGGCGUAGAUAUCAGGAGGAACACCGGUGGCGAAGGCGGCCUGCUGGACUGCGACUGACGUUGAGGCCCGAAAGCGUGGGGAGCAAACAGGAUUAGAUACCCCAGUAGUC